AGAGACAGCAGUAGCCGCGGGAAUACGGAGGGGGCUAGCGUUGUUCGGAAUUACUGGGCGUAAAGCGCACGUAGGCGGCUUGGUAAGUUAGAGGUGAAAGCCUGGAGCUCAACUCCAGAAUUGCCUUUAAGACUGCCGAGCUAGCAGGUGAGAGAGGUAAGUGGAAUUCCGAGUGUAGAGGUGAAAUUCGUAGAUAUUCGGAAGAACACCAGUGGCGAAGGCGGCUUACUGGCUCAUACUGGACGCUGAGGUGCGAAAGCGUGGGGAGCAAACAGGAUUAGAUACCCGAGUAGUCCCUGUCUCUUAUAA
rnacentral:rRNA from 1 species